GCAAGUCGAAAUCACUUAAACAUUUCAUUGGUCCAAUUACAUCAUUUACCUUGCAAAGCAUUCAUUCAUUGGUUAGUUAAUCAGCAUGACAUAGUCUCGGGAUCCACCUCGGGUUCGUAGAUUGUGCCUUAAACAUUGGGAUAAUUAAUCUAGUAAUUAGGUUAAUUAAAAUUGGAGUCAACUUAGGGUUUUUUCCUAGUUUACCCUAAAAUAAUUAA
rnacentral:lncRNA from 1 species